rnacentral:lncRNA from 1 species
GGCAUGCCGAUUAAAACUGCCACUUGUCAAGUGCUGACCAUCUCUCCAGUGAAUUGGACUUUGGCACACAUAAGGUUGCACUAUGGGUCCCAUGAUAGAAUGGAUACCCUCAUGGACAUGCACCAUUCAAAAAUUCCAAUUACAGAAUUGUUAUCAAUAUACUUGCGCACGUCAUUAAUCACCCCGUUGAAGGGCAACCCCUCUGCUAUC